CGCCAGAUGGCAGGCGUGCGCCGUGCCCGCAGGUCUCAGCCCCUACAUGGGCGCGCGGGGCCGGGCCAGGGUAUAGUCCGGUAAGCCAUGACCGCUUCGCUCCCCCUGCCUCGGGGUUCGACCCACCGGGGAGGAAAGCCACAGGCACUGAGCGCCUCCUGAGAGCCAGCCCUGACGUGAACUCAUUUUAUCUGCAACGACCCGAAAGGUAGAAAAUAUGGAUUAUCUGAACUUCCAGCACCAAUUUGGAGUGUGAGAGUGGUGAGAAGAGACCUGACCAGGAGAGCAGCAGAAGGUUUAGAGCUGCCAAAGUACACUAGUGCCAGAGACAAGCACUCUAGAAAACAGGAGGAAGAGUCAGAAGAGAAAGGUAAAUCCCUAGGAAUGAGAUGGCUGGGUCACAUGAUGUUGUUUACUCUGUCACCCAGGCUGAAGUGCAGUGGCUUUAUCUUGGCUCACUGCAACUUCUGUCUCCCGGGUUCAAGCAAUUCUCCUGCUUCAGCCUCCUGAGUAGCUGAGAUUACAGGUGCCUGCCACAAUGUCUAGCGAAUUUUUGUAUUUUUAGUAGAAACAGGGUUUCAUCAUGUUGGCCAGGCUGGUCUUGAACUCAUAACCUCAAGCGAUCCACCUGCCUCAGCCUCCCUAAGUGCUGGGGUUACAAGUGUGAGCCACUGUGCCCAGCCUCUUUAGCUAUUCUUAGUUUAAUCUAUGACUAUAACUUAUAUAUAGCUUUUACACAUAUAUCUGCAUUAAAAAUGAGGUCUACUGAUUUUCACUUUAAGCAUUAUGUUUUGUCUCAAUAGAAUUUUACCAAAUUAAACUAGUUUAUCAUUAUUUAUAUGAAUACAAAAUUUUUUUUUCUUUCAAACAAAUUUAAAGAAAUGUUAUAUGGUUAUAGGCCAAACACCAUUAUAAUUUAAAGACCAUCUGUAGUAUAGUGAAAAAACUAAAGGACUUGCUUUGAAACAUAUCCUUGUAACUGAGCACCCCCAUUUUUCUGAGAGAGAAUGAGCUAUUUUUUUCUUUUCUCCAUUUCUCCCUCUUUUCCUCUUCCUACUUAGCCCUUUAGAAAUGCAAUUAUAACCUUUUACCUCCCCUUCACCAGACACUCCCUACAGAGUAAGUUCAUUUAACUACGUGCUUAGAAGCUCCAGAAUGGAGCUCUCACCAACCAGGAGGCUGCCUCGAGAGACAACAGUCAGUCUGAAACCCAAACUAUGCCCACUAGGAAACUUUCUCCUACCUGGAGAGUUUCUGCUACCUUUACAACCUAGUUCUGCCUACAAAGACACCAGUGGUCACCAGCUCAAAUGCCGGGUAGAUAGGAUACUGAAGCAAGUCAUGUGGAUCCCCUCCUCUUGCUUUCUCCCCUGCAUGCCAUUCAUGCCAAACCCCCUUUUAAAAGCACCUGCUUUCUGCUCCAAAAGUGAAGCAGUACCCUUAAGGCAGGAAGCCUGUACUUCUUCCUCUAAGCUAGCUUUGGAAUAAAAAGUCAUUUUCUUUAUGCUAUAUCUCUCUCAUUAGUUGGACUCUGCACCUGGCAAGCAACUAAACCUACAUUUUGGUUACAUCCUAUUUAAAAACAACAACAAAACAGGCAAGGUAUGCUGAGCUCUACAAUGGAGGGACUAAGCAAUUUAAAUCCAGUGGCAGGAUUUUACCUACAGUGAGACAGACUUUAGUGAUGGAUGAGACUCUCAAAAAAUGUGGCUAUAAUGGUUUCAGUCUAAAUGUAGUUCUUAGAAACAUAAUGGCCACAGUUUACUAUCGUUGUGAAAUUUUGAAUUUGUCAAAAGUUGUUUGAGUAAGUAACCUUAAAGAAUGAAAAGCUAUUUACAACGGGACAUAUUUUCUUGCCUCUAAAGCAAUACUCGGUUCUAAGUCACCAUUUCCUAGCCAGGCUCCUCCUGGCACAUGGAGAUCAUGCUGUGAAUUGCAGGAGAAAGGGUUUAGCAGUACACUUUGGAAUGUAACCCCUUACUAGCAAAGUAUCUGUACCAAACUGAUUUUCUUUACCCUUUAAAAAAAGAAUCUCUAGUUCCUGGCUCCAAACAGCCACCUAAAUUUCAAUCAAAUAUUGCAAUAAAAUCCAAACUAAGUGUAUUUCACUGAAGUAUAAAGUGUGAGGCAGAGAAUUAGAGACCAGAUUUGUUAGCUUAGGUCGAAUUUCAUGCUAGUUCCAUUAAUUAAAAAGCAAUUUUUCCUAAAUCUCUGUAAUGGCUUUGAUGCUCUCAAUUGUUCUUACUUACAUCCACCACCAUUCCAGGAGCUUCUAUCAUCAGGAUCAAAGGAAAAUGAAUGAUAGUAAAGUAAAGCAAGACUAGUGUCUUAAGCUAAAGUUUGAGCAUGGGUUUCUACAGCAAUGAUGUCUGACUGAAAUACAGAUGGUCCCAGACUUACGAUGGUUUGACUUAACAAUUUUUUGAGUUUAAGAUGAUGUGAAAGUGAUAUGCAUUCAGUACAGAGUAUACUUGGAGUUCCACACAAUAUUCUAUUUUCUACUUUUAGUAUAGUAUUCAAUAAAUUACAGGAGA